CCUACGGGUGGCAGCAGUGAGGAAUAUGGGUCAAUGGACGAAAGUCUGAACCAGCCAAGCAGCGUGAAGGAAGACGGCCCUAUGAGUUGUAAACUGCUUUUGUACGAGGGUAAACGCAGAUACGCGUAUCUGUCUGAAAGUAUCGUACGAAUAAGGAUCGGCUAACUCCGUGCCAGCAGCCGCGGUAAUACGGAGGAUUCAAGCGUUAUCCGGAUUUAUUGGGUUUAAAGGGUGCGUAGGCGGUCGGUUAAGUUAGAGGUGAAAUCCCGCGGCUCAACUUCGGAAUUGCCUCUGAUACUGUUCGGCUAGAGGGUAGUUGCGGUAGGCGGAAUGUGUGGUGUAGCGGUGAAAUGCUUAGAGAUCAUGCAGAACACCGAUUGCGAAGGCAGCUCAC
rnacentral:rRNA from 1 species